UACAGGGGGUGCAAACGUUGCUCGGAAUCAUUGGGCGUAAAGCGCACGUAGGCGGUUCGUUAUGUCGGAUGUGAAAGCCCUUGGCUUAACCGAGGAAGUGCAUCCGAAACUGGCGAGCUAGAGUACGAAAGAGGAUCGCGGAAUUCCCGGUGUAGAGGUGAAAUUCGUAGAUAUCGGGAGGAACACCGGUGGCGAAGGCGGCGAUCUGGGGCGAUACUGACGCUGAGGUGCGAAAGCGUGGGGAGCAAACAGG
rnacentral:rRNA from 1 species